rnacentral:ncRNA from 1 species
GAUGGGGAAUCCUUGUAUCAAGGGUGCACUCUGCAUGAACAUCGAAAGAGAAUUGGGUUAAUAUUCUCGAACCGGGACAUGGUGGUGGACGACAAUGUUAGGAAAUCUAGAGAUGUCAUCGGGGGCCUGGGAAGAGUUAUCUUUUCUUUUUAACGACUUUCCCACCCUAAAAUCAGUUCAAAUGGAGAUAGGGUCUGUAACCUACCCACUACUUAAAUCAAAUUUUUCCAGUCCUCUGUCAGACUCGAUCUCCUAAAUAACCACAGAGAUCCAACGUAAACUAGCUCUUUCUAUUUUCUUCCCCAUUC